AGCCUGACGGAGCAAUGCCGCGUGAGCGAAGAAGGCCUUCGGGUCGUAAAGCUCUGUACAGGGGGAAGAACAAAUGACGGUACCCCUAUAAUAGCCCCGGCUAACUACGUGCCAGCAGCCGCGGUAACACGUAGGGGGCAAGCGUUGUCCGGAAUUACUGGGCGUAAAGCGCGCGUAGGCGGCUUCGCAAGUCAGUGGUGAAAACCGGCGGCUCAACCGCAGGCUUGCCAUUGAAACUGCGAGGCUUGAGGACAGGAGAGGGGAGUGGAAUUCCCAGUGUAGCGGUGAAAUGCGUAGAUAUUGGGAGGAACACCAGUGGCGAAGGCGGCUCCCUGGCCUGCUUCUGACGCUGAGGCGCGAAAGCGUGGGGAUCAAACAGGAUUAGAUACCCUGGUAGUCCACGCCGUAAACGAUGGGUGCUAGGUGUUGGUGGUGUAGAAUCCACCAGUGCCGUAGUUAACGCGAUAAGCACCCCGCCUGGGGAGUACGGUCGCAAGACUGAAACUCAAAGGAAUUGACGG
rnacentral:rRNA from 1 species